GAGUUUACCCUUUAUUUCCUUCUCGCUCAAAUAAGCCAGUCUGUUUCUUUAUGUUCCAGCUGAAAUAACAAAUCUCAGCUGCCGGAGAAAUCAGAGCCUGCAAAAGACGAUCCAUUCUUUUGAUAUGUCAAAAGCAGCAGCCAACGUUGCCAGUUUUUCUCACACUUUCAAGUACUUAUUGGCUACUCAGUUCUUGUCAAGAGGAAUCCCUUUUAUUUUCAAUUCCUGGAUCGUUAGACACCUUACAGCCGAGGACUAUGCGUUAUAUGCAGUGCAAUUUCAUCUCUUUGUGACAUGUGUGUUGUUUCUUAGUCGAGAAGGAUUCCGGCGAGCCUGCAUGAGGGCCGACAUUAAAUGUGAUGGUGCCUCAACCGAGGAAUAUGCAGCAAAGUUAUUAAAAGUAGCUUGGAUGACACUCCCUCUUGGAGUAGUUACAACGAUUUCAGCAUGUGUUUUUGUUUUCUGGUGGCAAGGAUUAACUUAUUCUGAUCCAUACGCACAAGCUAUCUUGAUCAAUGGCUGUGCAUGUAUUUUGGAGCUUUUGGCCGAACCCUUGUAUAUUGUCUCUCAGAAUUUGCUAUUGCUCAAACUGCGGUUGAUCGUUGAAACAGCAGCUACACUUUUGCGUUGUUUGACAAUGUACAUCCUGAUUGUCAAGCAAACCAGCAUGGAUAAGGGGAUUGUUUUUGCGUUGUCGCAAACUGCAUAUGGAGCUUGUUUGUUCUUAGGAUAUUGGAGUUACUUUGUUCUUUUCCGUGCAUUUAGAAGUUCUGUUCUUUUCCCUUUCAGACUAGGAACCAUAAUGGAUUAUGACAAGCAGCUCUCUAGCAUGUGUGUUCUGUUAACCCUACAAUCCUUUCAAAAGCUUAUCCUUCAAGAAGGGGAAAAAUUUGUUCUUGUAUGGUUGGAUACCCCAUACAACCAGGCUGUAUAUGGACUUGUUGACAAGUUAGGGAGCUUAGUUGUCAGAUUGGUGUUUCUUCCAUUUGAGGAAAGUUCAUAUGCUACAUUUGCCAGGUCUGCAUCAGGAAAAGAUCCAAACAAAAGCAGGAAACUGGGAAGCUGCCUAUCAGAGGCCUUGAAGCUUGUUUUGUUAAUUGGUGUUGUAUUUAUGACAUUUGGCCCAAGUUACUCCUACUCUCUCAUCAGAAUGUUGUAUGGCCGUAAAUGGAGUGAUGGAGAGGCAUCGACAGCCCUCCAGUAUUAUUGCUUCUAUGUCAUUGUCUUGGCUAUGAAUGGAACUUCCGAAGCGUUUCUACAUGCUGUUGCAACAGAGAGCCAACUCAAGCGCUCAAAUGAUUCGUUGCUUGUGUUCUCAUUGAUAUAUGUAGUGAUGAAUGUCCUGCUGAUAAAGUCAGCUGGUGCUGUUGGCUUGAUUCUGGCAAAUUCCUUAAAUAUGAUCUUGAGGAUUAUAUACUCUGCAGUAUUCAUCAAAUACUACUUUCAGGAUUCUUCUGCAUUUUCUUUUACCAGCUGCUUACCUUCAGGUUGGACAGUUCUGUUGUUUUCUGGUGUAAUUACUCUCAUCUCUGAGAAAUUAUUUCUGGACCACGAAAAUUUCUGGCCAACAUUUUUAAUCCACUUCUCCAUCGGCUUAACUUGCUUCUGCAUUUCGUCUUUCAUCAUUUACCGCCGCGAGAGACCUUUCAUCAACAGAAUUAUCCGUUUCCGUGAUCACAUGGACUGAAGAAUAAAUAACUGUCCUUACAGCUUGUGAGUCACAAAAAACACAAGGGUGAGGAUGAAUUACACUCUGUUGAAGUCCAUUCCAUGUUACGGUGGGAUUAUUAGUAGCAAGGAUUACUGGAUACCCAACAAGGAACAAUGGAACACACUUGCUCCUCAAUUUGGGUAAGAACUUAGCGAGUCAGUAGAGCUGGUAAUGUUGUCUUAUGAAGAUCAUUUUCAAAAUAACAACACACUGCAUCGUUAAGCUUCUUCAAUUGGGUUCUGCCAUGGACAACCGGUAGACUGAUGUCUGCUCAUUCCAUUGCGAAGUUUAUGGUGUUGUUUUUGUGCUCUAAUAACAGUUUUUCUUUGGAUAAAAAAACAUGAGAAGUUCGAGCAUCAUACUUUAGUAGAAAAAGGUGGUAAACGUUUAAACAGCCAUGAUAACCCGUUAUAAUGGUUCUAGUCAA